rnacentral:rRNA from 1 species
UACGUGGGGGGCAAGCGUUGUCCGGAAUUACUGGGCGUAAAGCGCCUGUAGGCGGGAACGUGCGUCGGACGUGAAAGGCGGGGGCUCAACCCCCGAGCGGCGUUCGAAACGGCGUUUCUUGAGGGUCGGAGAGGAGCGUGGAAUUCCCGGUGUAGCGGUGAAAUGCGUAGAGAUCGGGAGGAACACCCAUGGCGAAGGCAGCGCUCUGGUCGGCAUCUGACGCUGAGAGGCGAAAGCGUGGGGAGCGAACGGG